rnacentral:tRNA from 1 species
GGUGUAGCUCAGUGGUAGAGUUCUUGCCUAAUAUACACAAGACCUGGGUUCAAUUCUCAGCACC